rnacentral:rRNA from 1 species
AUUGAACGCUGGCGGCAUGCUUUACACAUGCAGGUCGAACGGUAACAGGGAGCUUGCUCCGCUGACGAGUGGCGAACGGGUGAGUAAUGCGUCGGAACGUGCCGAGUAGUGGGGGAUAACGCAUCGAAAGGUGUGCUAAUACCGCAUACGAACUGAGGUUGAAAGUGGGGGACCUUCGGGCCUCACGCUACCCGAGCGGCCGACGUCUGAUUAGCUAGUUGGUGAGGUAAAGGCUCACCAAGGCGACGAUCAGUAGCGGGUCUGAGAGGAUGAUCCGCCACACUGGGACUGAGACACGGCCCAGACUCCUACGGGAGGCAGCAGUGGGGAAUUUUGGACAAUGGGCGCAAGCCUGAUCCAGCCAUGCCGCGUGUCUGAAGAAGGCCUUCGGGUUGUAAAGGACUUUUGUCCGGGAGCAAAUGCUGGUGGCUAACAUCCACCGGAGCUGAGAGUACCGGAAGAAUAAGCACCGGCUAGCUACGUGCCAGCAGCCGCCGUAAUAC